rnacentral:rRNA from 1 species
UUGAACGCUGGCGGCAUGCCUUACACAUGCAAGUCGAACGGUAGAGGGGCAACCCUUGAGAGUGGCGAACGGGUGAGUAAUGCAUCGGAACGUGCCCAGUCGUGGGGGAUAACGCAGCGAAAGCUGUGCUAAUACCGCAUGUGAUCUGUGGAUGAAAGCAGGGGACCGCAAGGCCUUGUGCGAUUGGAGCGGCCGAUGUCAGAUUAGCUAGUUGGUAGGGUUAAAAGCC